GUAACGAAGCUAACGCGUGAAGUCGACCGCCUGGGGAGUACGGCCGCAAGGUUAAAACUCAAAGGAAUUGACGGGGACCCGCACAAGCGGUGGAUUAUGUGGAUUAAUUCGAUGCAACGCGAAAAACCUUACCUACCCUUGACAUGGUCGGAAGCCUCUCGAGACGGAGGCGUGCCCGAAAGGGAGCCGACACACAGGUGCUGCAUGGCUGUCGUCAGCUCGUGUCGUGAGAUGUUGGGUUAAGUCCCGCAACGAGCGCAACCCUUGUCAUUAGUUGCUACAUUCAGUUGGGCACUCUAAUGAGACUGCCGGUGACAAACCGGAGGAAGGUGGGGAUGACGUUCGUCUG
rnacentral:misc_RNA from 1 species